rnacentral:snRNA from 1 species
GCAUUCUGAAAUUGGAACAAUCCAGAGAAGAUUAGCAUAGCCUCUGCACAUGGAUGACAUGCAAAUCUGUGAAGUAUUCCACAUGUUA